GAUGAACGCUAGCUACAGGCUUAACACAUGCAAGUCGAGGGACCGGCGCACGGGUGAGUAACACGUAUCCAACCGGCCCUUUACUCGGGGAUAGCCUUUCGAAAGAAAGAAUAAUACCCGAUAUAAAGGAUGGGGAUGCGUUCCUUUAGGGUGUUGGUGAGGUAACGGCCCACCAAGCUUUCGAUGGAUAGGGGUUCGGAGAGGAAGGUCCCCUACAUUGGAACUGAGGCCCGGUCCAAACUCCUACGUGAGGCAGGAGUGAUGAAUAUUGGGGGAUGGGCGUUAGCCUGAACCAGCCAAGUAGCUGGAAGGAUGAAUGCGUAUGGGUCGUAAUCUUCUUUUAUGGAAGAAGAGGUAUUAGAUGAAUAAGGAUCGGCUAACUCCGUGCCAGCCGCCGCGGUAAUUC
rnacentral:rRNA from 1 species